rnacentral:rRNA from 1 species
CCCCUAGAUGUUCUGGGCCGCACGCGCGCUACACUGAACAGUUCUACAAGUCUUAACCUUGGCCGAUAGGUCUGGGUAAUCUUUGAACGCUGUUCGUGAUUGGGAUAGACCUUUGCAAUUAUGGGUCUUCAACGAGGAAUUCCUAGUAAACGCAAGUCAUCAGCUUGCAUUGAUUACGUCCCUGCCCUUUGUACACACCGCCCGUCGCACCUACCGAUUGAAUGGUCCGGUGAAAUCUCGGGACGGCGGCUUGGUCGCUUGCGUCCGACUGCUGAAACUUGAUUAAACCAUAUCAUUUAGAGGAAGGUGAAGUCGUAACA